AAUGGGUCAGCGACUUAUAUUCUGUAGCAAGGUUAACCGAAUAGGGGAGCCGAAGGGAAACCGAGUCUUAACUGGGCGUUAAGUUGCAGGGUAUAGACCCGAAACCCGGUGAUCUAGCCAUGGGCAGGUUGAAGGUUGGGUAACACUAACUGGAGGACCGAACCGACUAAUGUUGAAAAAUUAGCGGAUGACUUGUGGCUGGGGGUGAAAGGCCAAUCAAACCGGGAGAUAGCUGGUUCUCCCCGAAAGCUAUUUAGGUAGCGCCUCGUGAAUUCAUCUCCGGGGGUAGAGCACUGUUUCGGCAAGGGGGUCAUCCCGACUUACCAACCCGAUGCAAACUGCGAAUACCGGAGAAUGUUAUCACGGGAGACACACGGCGGGUGCUAACGUCCGUCGUGAAGAGGGAAACAACCCAGACCGCCAGCUAAGGUCCCAAAGUCAUGGUUAAGUGGGAAACGAUGUGGGAAGGCCCAGACAGCCAGGAUGUUGGCUUAGAAGCAGCCAUCAUUUAAAGAAAGCGUAAUAGCUCACUGGUCGAGUCGGCCUGCGCGGAAGAUGUAACGGGGCUAAACCAUGCACCGAAGCUGCGGCAGCGACGCUUAUGCGUUGUUGGGUAGGGGAGCGUUCUGUAAGCCUGUGAAGGUGUGCUGUGAGGCAUGCUGGAGGUAUCAGAAGUGCGAAUGCUGACAUAAGUAACGAUAAAGCGGGUGAAAAGCCCGCUCGCCGGAAGACCAAGGGUUCCUGUCCAACGUUAAUCGGGGCAGGGUGAGUCGACCCCUAAGGCGAGGCCGAAAGGCGUAGUCGAUGGGAAACAGGUUAAUAUUCCUGUACUUGGUGUUACUGCGAAGGGGGGACGGAGAAGGCUAUGUUGGCCGGGCGACGGUUGUCCCGGUUUAAGCGUGUAGGCUGGUUUUCCAGGCAAAUCCGGAAAAUCAAGGCUGAGGCGUGAUGACGAGGCACUACGGUGCUGAAGCAACAAAUGCCCUGCUUCCAGGAAAAGCCUCUAAGCAUCAGGUAACAUCAAAUCGUACCCCAAACCGACACAGGUGGUCAGGUAGAGAAUACCAAGGCGCUUGAGAGAACUCGGGUGAAGGAACUAGGCAAAAUGGUGCCGUAACUUCGGGAGAAGGCACGCUGAUAUGUAGGUGAGGUCCCUCGCGGAUGGAGCUGAAAUCAGUCGAAGAUACCAGCUGGCUGCAACUGUUUAUUAAAAACACAGCACUGUGCAAACACGAAAGUGGACGUAUACGGUGUGACGCCUGCCCGGUGCCGGAAGGUUAAUUGAUGGGGUUAGCGGUAACGCGAAGCUCUUGAUCGAAGCCCCGGUAAACGGCGGCCGUAACUAUAACGGUCCUAAGGUAGCGAAAUUCCUUGUCGGGUAAGUUCCGACCUGCACGAAUGGCGUAAUGAUGGCCAGGCUGUCUCCACCCGAGACUCAGUGAAAUUGAACUCGCUGUGAAGAUGCAGUGUACCCGCGGCAAGACGGAAAGACCCCGUGAACCUUUACUAUAGCUUGACACUGAACAUUGAGCCUUGAUG
rnacentral:rRNA from 1 species